AUCAACUGAGCACAAGAAUGAAACCAACUACUGACUUUGGAAUGGAACCAUGACAUUCCAUGACUUUUGGUCCUCAGACCAAACACAUCCUAAGCCCACCACAUUUUGUACUACAUGGACGUAAAAAAAUGCAAGUUGUGCAACGUUUUUACGUUUCCGUAUUUGUAAGCAGGUGAAGCGAGGGUCAUAACUCAUGGGGUACUGAGC
rnacentral:lncRNA from 1 species